rnacentral:rRNA from 1 species
GACGUGGGGGGCCAGCGUUGUUCGGAAUUACUGGGCGUAAAGCGUGCGCAGGCGGUUUGGUAAGACAGACGUGAAAUCCCCGGGCUUAACCUGGGAACUGCGUUUGUGACUGCCAGACUAGAGUGCGGCAGAGGGGGGUAGAAUUCCACGUGUAGCAGUGAAAUGCGUAGAUAUGUGGAGGAAUACCGAUGGCGAAGGCAGCCCCCUGGGUCGACACUGACGCUCAUGCACGAAAGCGUGGGGAGCAAACAGG